rnacentral:misc_RNA from 1 species
AAGUCGUAACAAGGUUUCCGUAGGUGAACCUGCGGAAGGAUCAUUAACGUAUCUUUCGGCGGGUGUCGAACCGCCCUGCUCCGGCCGCGAGGUCGUGCAGCGGGUGGCCGGCCCCGUCAAACCUUCACAAACCCACCGUGAACCUUCACGGCAGAGGGCUGCGGGCGAGAGCUCGCGGUUCAAAGCCGCUUCUACAAACUCAAAAAGUCAAAAAAGAAUGUCUCGUGACCUCUGUGUCGCCUAUAAACAUGACAACUUUCAACAACGGAUCUCUUGGCUCUC